UAGGGAAUAUUGCACAAUGGGGGAAACCCUGAUGCAGCGACGCCGCGUGAGUGAUGAAGGCCUUCGGGUCGUAAAGCUCUGUCGUAUGGGACUAACACAAUGAAGGUACCAUGCAAGAAAGGAUCGGCUAACUUCGUGCCAGCAGCCGCGGUAAGACGAGGGAUCCUAGCGUUGUUCGGAAUCAUUGGGCGUAAAGCGGGUGUAGGCGGACUUAUAAGUCAGAUGUGAAAUCCCAGGGCUUAACUCUGGAAGUGCAUUUGAUACUGUAAGCCUUGAGUGUGGUAGAGGUUACUGGAAUUCCUGGUGUAGUGGUGAAAUACGUAGAUAUCAGGAGGAAUACCGGAGGCGAAGGCGGGUAACUGGGCCAACACUGACGCUGAGAUCCGAAAGCGUGGGGAUCAAACAG
rnacentral:rRNA from 1 species